rnacentral:rRNA from 1 species
UGGUAGUCCACCCCGUAAACGUUGGGAACUAGUUGUGGGGUCCAUUCCACGGAUUCCGUGACGCAGCUAACGCAUUAAGUUCCCCGCCUGGGGAGUACGGCCGCAAGGCUAAAACUCAAAGGAAUUGACGGGGACCCGCACAAGCGGCGGAGCAUGCGGAUUAAUUCGAUGCAACGCGAAGAACCUUACCAAGGCUUGACAUAUACGAGAACGGGCCAGAAAUGGUCAACUCUUUGGACACUCGUAAACAGGUGGUGCAUGGUUGUCGUCAGCUCGUGUCGUGAGAUGUUGGGUUAAGUCCCGCAACGAGCGCAACCCUCGUUCUAUGUUGCCAGCACGUAAUGGUGGGAACUCAUGGGAUACUGCCGGGGUCAACUCGGAGGAAGGUGGGGAUGACGUCAAAUCAUCAUGCCCCUUAUGUCUUGGGCUUCACGCAUGCUACAAUGGCCGGUACAAAGGGCUGCAAUACCGUAAGGUGGAGCGAAUCCCAAAAAGCCGGUCCCAGUUCGGAUUGAGGUCUGCAACUCGACCUCAUGAAGUCGGAGUCGCUAGUAAUCGCAGAUCAGCAACGUUGCGGUGAAUACGUUCCCGGGUCUUGUACACACCGCCCGUCAAGUCAUGAAAGUCGGUAACAC